rnacentral:tRNA from 1 species
GUUAGCUCAGUCGGUAGAGCAUCUGACUUUUAAUCAGAGGGUCGAGGGUUCAAGUCCCUCACG